GCUGGGUGUGGUGGUGCACACCUGUAAUCCCAGCUACUUGGGAGGCUGAGGCAGGAGAAUUGCUUGAACCUGGGAGUCGGAGGUUGCAGUGAGCCGAGAUUGUGCCACUGCACUCCAACCCCAGGGAACAGAGCAAGACUCCAUCUCAA
rnacentral:SRP_RNA from 1 species